rnacentral:rRNA from 1 species
GGAAUUUUGGACAAUGGGCGCAAGCCUGAUCCAGCAAUGCCGCGUGAGUGAAGAAGGCCUUCGGGUUGUAAAGCUCUUUUGUCAGGGAAGAAACGGGUCUUUCUAAUACAGAGAUCUAAUGACGGUACCUGAAGAAUAAGCACCGGCUAACUACGUGCCAGCAGCCGCGGUAAUACGUAGGGUGCAAGCGUUAAUCGGAAUUACUGGGCGUAAAGCGUGCGCAGGCGGUUUUGUAAGACUGUCGUGAAAUCCCCGGGCUCAACCUGGGAAUGGCGAUGGUGACUGCAAGGCUAGAGUUUGGCAGAGGGGGGUAGAAUUCCACGUGUAGCAGUGAAAUGCGUAGAUAUGUGGAGGAACACCGAUGGCGAAGGCAGCCCCCUGGGUCAAAACUGACGCUCAUGCACGAAAGCGUGGGGAGCAAACAGGAUUAGAUACCCUUG